AUUGAACGCUGGCGGAAUGCUUUACACAUGCAAGUCGAACGGCAGCACGGGUGCUUGCACCUGGUGGCGAGUGGCGAACGGGUGAGUAACAUAUCGGAACGUACCCAGUAAUGGGGGAUAACUAGUCGAAAGAUUAGCUAAUACCGCAUACGCCCUGAGGGGGAAAGCGGGGAUCGUAAGACCUCGCGUUAUUGGAGCGGCCGAUAUCUGAUUAGCUAGUUGGUGGGGUAAAGGCCUACCAAGGCGACGAUCAGUAGCUGGUCUGAGAGGACGACCAGCCACACUGGAACUGAGACACGGUCCAGACUCCUACGGGAGGCAGCAGUGGGGAAUUUUGGACAAUGGGCGCAAGCCUGAUCCAGCCAUUCCGCGUGAGUGAAGAAGGCCUCCGGGUUGUAAAGCUCUUUCGCAAGGGAAGAAACGAUACGAGCGAAUAACUCGUGUUAAUGACGGUACCUUGAUAAGAAGCACCGGCUAACUACGUGCCAGCAGCCGCGGUAAUACGUAGGGUGCGAGCGUUAGUCGGAAUUACUGGGCGUAAAGCGUGCGCAGGCGGUUUUGUAAGUCAGAUGUGAAAUCCCCGGGCUCAACCUGGGAACUGCGUUUGAAACUACAAGGCUAGAGUAUAGGAGGAGGGGGGUAGAAUUCCCACGUGUAGCAGUGAAAUGCGUAGAGAUGUGGAGGAAUUACCAAUGGCGAAGGCAGCCCCGUGGCCUAAUACUGACGCUCAUGCACGAAAGCGUGGGGAGCAAACAGGAUUA
rnacentral:rRNA from 1 species